AUGCAACAGCGAAACAAAGAACUUCCUGCUUCUUGUAUAUUGCUUCUGGGACUCCGGGCGGGGAGGAAGGGGCUGACUUCCCAUCUAGAGAGGUUGGUGGAGGAAGGAAAACGGAAAGGCGCUGGAGCGGUAAAGGGCAGCAGGGCUUGAUGGUGGGAUGGCUGGUGGGUAGGGGGCAGUGGGAGUGGUGAGGUUGUCUACAUCCUGGGGGAGGAGAGGGCAAAGGUGAGAGAUCACCUUCCCUAUCCUGCACUCUCCUGCAGGGGAGGCAAAGCCAGGUGCCAGGGCCUGGGGUCAGGACACCUAUGUUCUGGGGACUGCACCCCAAACCCCCAGACGCUGGAAGCUCCAAGCUCUGGGUGCCCCCUGAGUACCUCUGCCAGCCCCUCCCCUCCAGCCUGUCAGCCCAGCCUUCCCAGUACCCCCUCACUGUCCACUCUUCAGGUAGCGUAGCUCCAUUGCCACACUAGCCCAGCCCCUUCAUUGCCAUGUCCCCAGGGGUGGCCUGUCCACCUCUGCUCUGACCUGUCCCUGUCUCUCUUGCCCCUCCCUCUUUUCUCACAAGUGCCAUGAGUUUUCAAACAUCUUUGGGUCUCAGCCUGCUGCUGCCAUGAACUUCAUUGGGUUGAGGGGGUGGGGCUCUAGGAAGGAACUGGGGGGAAGGGGACAGGUAGGUGGCUGGAGGGACCCUUUUUGCUGCUAGAAAGCCCUCCCUUCUCCUGGGGAGCUGGGGCUGGCUUGUCCCCAUCAAUUAGGGGAGAAGGGGCCAGACCAAAGAUGGUGGUUUGUCCCAUGGUAAGGGAAGAGGUGUGGGGAAAAGGCAGGGUUGGGGGUCCAUCUUUGGCUUUUUCUGGUAGGAAGGUGUAAUCCACUUUGCCAGAAGACCACGGGUGAAAUCUAGAUGGGGAGAAGCGAGGCUGAGGACAGUCUUGCCAGACAGCUCUGCGGAGGGCAGGAGACAGCUCCAUGGUGUGGCGGGGCAGUGAGAAGUCUGGGAAUAGCAGGGCAGGUGGAGGAGCUGGCCCUGCCCAGCUACAGCCUGAGCUGCCUCUGGCACCAGGAGGGCUGGGAGAGUUCCCAGGGGACUGAAGGGCACAGGGAGCUCAGCUUCCUCCGCCUGCGGCCCUCCUGUCUCUCCAGAUGCAGACAAUCACUGGGAGAGCGGGUGUAGUGGACCCGUUGGUGCCCAUUCCAGCUGGAACCGCCAAGGUGAAUUCCAAGGCCUGAGCUGUGUGGCAGGGCCCUCUGGUGGGGCUGGACACCACUGUGGUCCAGCGUAAAGCCACCCCUGAGAACCCAGGUGUCCCCCUACCCAACCAGACCUGGUGCCUUGAUGCCCCCACCCCAGCUGGGACAGUACAGAGAAGGGUCUUGGGUUUCCUCUCCUACUCUCUUCCUUGGGCUCCUGAACUCAUUUGCUCCUGAAUCUUGGUAAUUCUUUUUCUCCAGAUUUUAUUUCUUCUGGGUUCCCCUUGCCUUCCCUUUCUCUCGUAUCUUUCCCCCAUGUCUCUCUCACCGUCUGUGUUCCUCUCUUCUCUCAUCCUCGAUUUCUCUGUCCAUUCAGGCCUCCUUCCCCCUCUCCCACGCCCCCAGUUCCUCCCUCGGUCUCCUUUUCGAUAUGCCAAACCAAUUUUGGGUCGAGUGCAUUUAACGAGAACAAAACAAAAGGCUCAUAACAACAAGAAAGUUUCAGAAAAAAACAAAAAGUUUAAAAAAAAUUGUUGAGUCAAAAAGUCAAUAAAGAAAUUAAGAUUUCUUGGAA